UCGGGGGGGGGGGGGUCAGGGAAGGGCGAGACGGUGCCUGGUUGCCCGAACGAUUACGUGAAGCGCGAGGGCACGAAGGUCAAGGCUCUGCCGGGUCGCGGUUUUGGUAAAACCGCUUUGGGGGCAAAGAGCAACAUCGGAGCGAAGUUGGGAGAGCUGAGGUUUUGAAUUGGGAGUUUGGGGGCGCCUGGAGAACGGCUCGGUUGGUUAAGGGUAUGACUUCAGCUCGAGUCGUGAUCUCCCAGUCCGCGGGUUCCAGUCCGGCAUCAGGGUCUGUGCUGCAGCUUGGAGCCUGGAGCCCGGAGCCUGCUUCGGACUGUGUCUCCCUCCCUCUCUGCCGUUUACCCCACUCAUGCUCUCUCAAAAAUGAAUAAACGUUAAAAAAAAAAAAAGAGUUUUAAUUCUUUCUUUCUUUCUUUUUUCCCCCUGCUAAUAAAUUACGGGAGGGCAGCAGAAGAGGCUUCAAGCCUUACGAAGCAGACCCCCUCCCACCUUCCUGGGAGUGGCUGCUUGGGCCAGGUGGCGGCAGUCCCCCCAUUUCCCUAGGUGUGUUUGGGCAUGCAGUGCAUUGGGGGUUGCGUGGCCCCUCAGCCCUGGCUGCACGGCCGUUCCUACCCCGGGCUGGGAAGGCAGUUUGGCCGUCUUUAUCUGCGGGGGGCUGCCUCUAUGGGGGCUGGGUGGCAGGAACUAGCAGUUUCAUUGAACUUCGUCUGCAAUCCUAGGUCAAUUUAAUGUCUGAAAAAAACGAUUGAAUGUGCUCAGGCAAAUUAGGAAAGAAAAACUUUUGUCUUUAUUGUCAUAAACAUUUUAAAGCACCUGCAUGAAUAAUGGAGAAAACACUAGAUUCAGCUCUAGCAGUGUGUCACUGUUGAUGGUAUUCUUUGGUCUGGUGUCACUGGUGUUGGGGUGAUAGAUCUUUGAGUUCAUGCAUAUUCUUUUUUUACAGUUUAUUUCUUUUUCUUUUUUUAAUUUUAACAUUUAUUUAUUUUUGAGACAAAGAGAGAGCGUGUGAGCAGGGGAGGGGCAGAGAGAGAGGGAGACACAGGCUCUGAAGCAGGCUCCAGGUUCUGAGCUGUCAGCCCAGAGCCGGAUGCGGGGCUGGAACUCACGAACCGUGAGAUUGACCUGAGCUGAAGUCGGACGCUUAACCAACUGAGCCACCCAGGGGCCCCACAAAUCUAUUUCUCUAUUUUGAGAGAAAGAGAGUGAGCAAGUGAGCGGGGGAGGGGCAGAGAAAGAGGGAGGGAGAGAGACUCCCAAGCAGGCUCUGCACUGGGAGCCAUAUGCGGGGCUUGAACUCCCGAACCUUGAGCCGAAAUCAAGAGUCCCACACUUAUCCGACUGAGCCACCCAGGUGCCCCCAGUUCACGCAUAUUCUGUAGAGUGCCAAGCGUGUGUGGUGCCAUACUAUGUGCUGUAGAACUCCUGGCAGCCCAGCCAGGCAGUGUGUGUGCGUGUGUUUGGGGUACUUUAAUUUCUACCUAACCUGUGGGUGAUGCUGAUGACUGCUUUAUAAACUAUGGUGGCCUUGUGGUUAAGGAUCUCAUAGUUGAAAUGGGCAGGGGUGGACUUCUGUAGGACGGGGCAUUGUCACUAGUACUUGCUUAGAGCCGCACCGGUUAGGUGGCUCCGGGAAUAGCCCUUCACCUGGCUGCUCAGUGCCUACUUCCCAGGCAAAUCGGAAGAUACCAUUUGGAGAGAGGACACCUGAUUUGUGAAGACAUAUAAGCCUCAAAUGAAGAAUCAGAUGAGCCUCUAAAGCUAAAGGCACACGCACUCAGGCGGGGUUUCUGUGAGCAGACAUGAUCCCUAGACAUCGGAGAAAGGAGACGUAAAAAUCUGCUCCGAGUCUAACGUAUUAAUCGUGGAAAGAGGGUGAACUGCAAGAGUUUAGAAGGGAGAAGGGCAGACCAGACUCCCGGAUGUCUCUAUCUGGCUAUUCUAUUUCAUCUUUGCACCCCUGUGAGGAGACAUUGCUGUCCCGGCUUUGUAGAAGAGGUACCUGAGGUGGAAGGACCUGCCAGAGUCCCAGACCUUUUAAGUAGCCCAGUUGGGAUCAGAUCUAAGGGUCAUGAAUGUAAAUCGUCCUCCUGUCCUCCAUACGGCAUUUGAAGUCUCGGGAAAGUCCAGGCAACUUGGACUUGGUUCUUGGAAAGGCUUCCCCUUUCUCCUCCUCCCCGCCAACCACUCACACUUUAGAAGCUGCAGGAAAUCCCGGGGGCCUCUUCGUGUUGACUUCAUUCCUCGGGCCAACCUGCCAUUGUAUUUCAUUGCCCGGUGGCAGGAACGGGGUCAGCCAUACAGCCAGACCGGCGGAUGAGAAUGGCUGUCUCCUCUUGAUGUGGACAUUGCAGAACGGACAUUGGCACCUCACCCACUGUCUUUCCAUCUUUCGAAGCAGAACGGCUCCGGGGAGUGAAGUCAGAAGCCAAGGCCAAGUGCAGGGCCAUUUAAAUCCAGCUCCCUCAGUUACUUCUCUUGCUCAAGGCGAGGCAGUAGAUUUUCCACCUGCAUGUAGCUUUCUCAGCGCAGACUUUCUAAGUCUGAACCUUGGCCUUGUCUGCUUGUCAGACACUGGCCAGAAUUAAGCAUGAUAUAAUGCAGAGAAGUCCGAGCCCCCUCCCCCCACCCCAAUAUUUCAAUUCAUUGCCUAGGGAGUGAGUCUUUGAAAUGGAUGUUAGGACUUUUAAAUGCUUCCUUGUAUACCAUAAAUGGGAAAAAGAAAGAAAGGAAGAAAGGAAGAAAGGAAGGAAGGAAGGAAGGAAGGAAGGAAGGAAGGAAGGAAGAAAGAAAGAAAGAAAGAAAGAAAGAAAGAAAGAAAAAGAAAGAGAAGUUCCCUCUAGGGUCUCACUAGGAACUGGGCUUCAGAGCACCUUUUAAAAAUAGUCUGAUCAUGCUUAUUUUUCCUUUCCAGAUCUUUUUUUUUUCCCACAAUAAAAGUAAAGUCCAUUUGAGGGAAGUAGCUGGAGAGAGUGAUGGCUGCUUUGAUCUGUGGGGCUUCACAUGUCUCUGCUUUGCCUCUUGAAUGUCUGUCCCACGACAUAAGGUCAACCCACAGACAUCAGUGCCGCCAGCAUCCUGGCCUCUCUGUUGUCAAGCAUGGAAUUGCGCUGCUGUGGAAACUGGAGAAAAUCUAUCCAGGCCCACGUUUUAGUCUGUGCUCAGUCUCUGAUUUGCUCUGGGUACUUGAGAAAGAUCUUGCUUUUGUACUGUUUUUAUUUCUAAUAUGAUUUGGACCUCCUUUUUUUUUUUUUUUUUUUUUUGGCUAUAUCAACCGCACCAGGAGGACAUCUGUUUUAUUACUACUUUGAAGACCCAAAUAUGUGGCUGUUCAUUUUCAUUUCAUUAAUUUCUCCUCUUUAUUAUUUGUUCUUGUUUCUUGGAUUUACUUUUGGUACGCUUCUUCUGAUUUACAUUCAAUCCAUAGCUCAGUUAUUUUCAGCCUUUCUUCUUUUCUAGUAUAAAUAUUUAAAGCUAUAGAUGUCCUUCUAUGUAUUUUUUUGACUGUAUCCGACAAGUUUUGAAAAGCUAAUUUUAAUAUUUCAUUCUCAGUAUUUGUAAUUUCCAUUAUUGUUUUCUCUUUGGCCCAUGAUUUAUUUAGAGGCUUGUUUUAAACUUUCAACUGUGUGCUGAUGCUUUUAUCUUUUAAUUGUUGACUUUUAAUUGUUGUUUAAUUGUUUAACUUUGGAACGGUCGGAGAACAAGGUCUGUGUGACACGGCCUCUUUAGACUUUAUCGAAACUUGCUUUUUGGCCUUUAAGAGGUCGAUUUUCAUAAAUGUUCCCUGCGUGCUCCACAAAAAUGUACAGUCUUGGGACACAUGGGUGGCUCAGUAGGUUGAGCGUCAGACUUCAGCUCAGGUCAUGAUCUUGCAGUUUGUGGGUUCGAGUCCCAUGUCUGCGCUGACAGCAUGGCUCCUGGAGCCUGCUUCAGAUUCUGUGUCUCCCUCUCUCUCGGCCCCUGCCCCCCUCCCUUGUGCUCUGUCUGUCUCUCUC